rnacentral:rRNA from 1 species
GGAGUUAGCCGGUGCUUCUUCUGCGAGUAACGUCACAGAUGUAAGGUAUUAACUUACACCCUUUCCUCCUCGCUGAAAGUGCUUUACAACCCGAAGGCCUUCUUCACACACGCGGCAUGGCUGCAUCAGGGUUUCCCCCAUUGUGCAAUAUUCCCCACUGCUGCCUCCCGUAGGAGUCUGGGCCGUGUCUCAGUCCCAGUGUGGCUGAUCAUCCUCUCAGACCAGCUAGGGAUCGUCGCCUAGGUGAGCCUUUACCUCACCUACUAGCUAAUCCCACCUGGGCUUAUCCAUCAGCGCAAGGCCCGAAGGUCCCCUGCUUUCCCCCGUAGGGCGUAUGCGGUAUUAGCAGUCGUUUCCAACUGUUAUCCCCCACAAAUGGGCAAAUUCCCAGGCAUUACUCACCCGUCCGCCGCUCGUCAUCUUCAAAAGCAAGCUUUUGAAAUGUUACCGCUCGACUUGCAUGUGUUAGGCCUGCCGCCAGCGUUCAAUCUGAACCAAGAUCAAAUUCNGA